CCACCAUCUCUGCACGUAAACCUAGAUCACUGCCAUGGACACAAUGGCCUGCUGACAGUCGAAGGAAAUAUUAUAGAACUGUCUACAGUGAAGAAGAUCCGGAGGGGUAGGGAGGAGAUCCCUCUUCGUGAGCUGAAGCUGCAGGAGGGAGAAACCUGUGUUUCUGUCACCCUAUGGAGGGAAGCAGCCAUUGAAAAGCUGGAGAUGGACUCCUAGUGCAGGCUGACUCACCUACGGGCAUGUGAUGGUGAAGGAUCGCCCCUGCAAUCUACAGGGUUCAGCAAG